rnacentral:rRNA from 1 species
CUAAGAAUAUUCCGCAAUGGACGAAAGUCUGACGGAGCGACGCCGCGUGGAUGACGAAGGCCGAAAGGUUGUAAAGUCCUUUUGUUGGGGAAGAAUAAGGUCGGGAGGGAAUGCCCGGCUGAUGACAUGAACCGACGAAUAAGCCCCGGCUAACUACGUGCCAGCAGCCGCGGUAACACGUAGGGGGCGAGCGUUGUUCGGAAUUACUGGGCGUAAAGGGCAUGUAGGCGGCCUUGUAAGCCUGGCGUGAAAGUCCACGGCUCAACCGUGGGAUUGCGUCGGGAACUGCAGGGCUUGAGUCACGGAGAGGGAGCUAGAAUUCCUGGUGUAGGGGUGAAAUCUGUAGAGAUCAGGAAGAAUACCAGUGGCGAAGGCGAGCUCCUGGCCGAUGACUGACGCU